UGCUGUGGCUCAAUGGUAGAGCACUUCACUCGUAAUGAAGUGGUUGCGAGUUCGAUUCUCGCCAGC
rnacentral:tRNA from 2 species